GAUGAACGCUGGCGGCGUGCCUAAUACAUGCAAGUCGAGCGAACAGAUAAGGAGCUUGCUCCUUUGACGUUAGCGGCGGACGGGUGAGUAACACGUGGGUAACCUACCUAUAAGACUGGGAUAACUUCGGGAAACCGGAGCUAAUACCGGAUAACAUUUGGAACCGCAUGGUUCUAAAGUGAAAGAUGGUUUUGCUAUCACUUAUAGAUGGACCCGCGCCGUAUUAGCUAGUUGGUAAGGUAACGGCUUACCAAGGCAACGAUACGUAGCCGACCUGAGAGGGUGAUCGGCCACACUGGAACUGAGACACGGUCCAGACUCCUACGGGAGGCAGCAGUAGGGAAUCUUCCGCAAUGGGCGAAAGCCUGACGGAGCAACGCCGCGUGAGUGAUGAAGGGUUUCGGCUCGUAAAACUCUGUUAUUAGGGAAGAACAAAUGUGUAAGUAACUGUGCACGUCUUGAUGGUACCUAAUCAGAAAGCCACGGCUAACUACGUG
rnacentral:rRNA from 1 species